rnacentral:rRNA from 1 species
CAGUCGCCGCGGGAAUACGAAGGGGGCUAGCGUUGCUCGGAAUUACUGGGCGUAAAGCGUGCGCAGGCGGUGAUGUAAGACAGUUGUGAAAUCCCCGGGCUCAACCUGGGAACUGCAUCUGUGACUGCAUCGCUGGAGUGCGGCAGAGGGGGAUGGAAUUCCGCGUGUAGCAGUGAAAUGCGUAGAUAUGCGGAGGAACACCGAUGGCGAAGGCAGCCCCCUGGGCCAAUACUGACGCUCAUGCACGAAAGCGUGGGGAGCAAACAGGAUUAGAUACCCCCGUAGUCCCUGUCUCUUAUAC